AACCAGCAUGUAUCGAGAAUUUAUUUCGAAAUGUAAAUUUAAACAAAAAUUUCUGUCGUGUUUCCUCGAAUCAGUUAUUAUUGUUUCAAUAAGUUCUCAACAUGCUUAAUUUCAGUAUUUAGAAAGAAUUAUUGUACGCAGGGGAUCUUUGCAAAUAUCGAUGCCACUGAUAAUUGUUAAAGAAGAAUUUCGAUUGUCUAUUCGUUCGAAAUGUAUCUUCUAUUGCGCAUAAUCAUUCUUUUAAACAGAGAAGGAUAGCCAGAUAGAUAGAAACUUGGGAGGAUGAGAUGACAUUUUUUACGUAUGGCAGUCUUAUCCAACAAUAAGUAUUAUUUUUCCAAUUUUUUUCUUCUUCAUAUUCAAAACAUAAAAAAAUUAAACGACAUUUCGAUCGAUAGCACGUGCUCGUACCGUAUAUGAUGCAAACAAUUGAAUCUUAUAUGUCUAGUUUCAUCAUCCAUUGCUCAACAGAUUUGCGAGUAAUCCAUGUAAAAAUAUAUCAUUAUCGACUAAGGGGAAUCACAAAACGUUGACAUCUGUUUUUUAAUUGUCUCUUUUAUUCAUAUAAUAUUUCUCUUACUUUAUUCUCGUUUUAUGCGUAUAUCAUUCCGCAAUAGAAUCACAAAUGUGUUAAAAAUAAAUCAAUGACUUUAAUUCCGAUAAAGUAGAAAGUUGCAUGCAUUACGUAACCAAUUUGAUUCGUAACGAAGUU